CACGUAGGGCGCAAGCGUUGUCCGGAAUUAUUGGGCGUAAAGAGCGUGUAGGCGGCUCGGUAAGUCCGCUGUGAAAGUCCAGGGCUCAACCCUGGAAUGCCGGUGGAAACUGUCGAGCUAGAGUCCGGAAGAGGCGAGUGGAAUUCCUGGUGUAGCGGUGAAAUGCGCAGAUAUCAGGAGGAACACCAAUGGCGAAGGCAGCUCGCUGGGACGGUACUGACGCUGAGACGCGAAAGCGUGGGGAGCGAAUGGG
rnacentral:rRNA from 1 species